GUGGGUGGCAAGCGUUGUCCGGAAUUAUUGGGCGUAAAGCGCGCGCAGGCGGUUCUUUAAGUCUGAUGUGAAAGCCCACGGCUCAACCGUGGAGGGUCAUUGGAAACUGGAGAACUUGAGUACAGAAGAGGAAAGCGGAAUUCCACGUGUAGCGGUGAAAUGCGUAGAGAUGUGGAGGAACACCAGUGGCGAAGGCGGCUUUCUGGUCUGUAACUGACGCUGAGGCGCGAAAGCGUGGGGAGCAAACAGGGAUUAGAUACCCUGGUAGUCCACGCCGUAAACGAUGAGUGCUAAGUGUUAGGGGGUUUCCGCCCCCUUAGUGCUGCAGCUAACGCAUUAAGCACUCCGCCUGGGGAUACGGCCGCAAGGCUG
rnacentral:rRNA from 1 species